rnacentral:rRNA from 1 species
GACGAACGCUGGCGGCGUGCUUAACACAUGCAAGUCGAACGGAAAGGCCCUGCUUUUGUGGGGUGCUCGAGUGGCGAACGGGUGCGUAACACGUGAGUAACCUGCCCUUGCCUUUGGGAUAACUUCAGGAAACUGGGGCUAAUACCGGAUAGGAGCUCCUGCUGCAUGGUGGGGGUUGGAAAGUUUCGGCGGCUGGGGAUGGACGCGCGGCUUAUCAGCUUGGUGGUGGGGUAGUGGCUUACCAAGGCUUUGACGGGUCGCCGGCCUGAGAGGGUGACCGGCCACAUUGGGACUGAGAUACGGCCCAGACUCCGACGGGAGGCAGCAGUGGGGGAUAGUGCACAAUGGGCGGAAGCGUGAUGCGGCAACGCCGCGUGCGGGAUGACGGCCUUCGGUUUGUAAACCGCUUUCGCCUGUGACGAAGCGUGAGUGACGGUAAUGGGUAAAGAAGCACCGGCUAACUACGUG